rnacentral:rRNA from 1 species
CUCCGUUGUCAGGCAGCAGAGGGUCGCAGCGAGAUAAACGAUCAAUAUUCUUCCAAAUUACGAUCCCCCUUUCCAGGGGGCUUGAGCAAAGGCUUGAACGGGGCUUGAGCGGGCAUUCCAAGUCCGUAGCCAUUUAGCUCAAGUUUACACUGGCUCGAGCUGUUUGGAAAAGUUGAUCGAUUGAUCGCAUCUGCCCGAAAUCAUGUUCAAAUUUUUGAUCCUGGCUUUGUUGGUAGCGUCUGACUCUAAGAUAGGACCUCGGUUCUAUUUUGUUGGUUUCUAGAGCUGAGGUAAUGAUUAAUAGGGAUAGUUGGGGGCAUUCGUAUUUAACUGUCAGAGGUGAAAUUCUUGGAUUUGUUACAGACGGACUACUGCGAAAGCAUUUGCCAAGGAUGUUUUCA